UGCAUUUUAGUAUAAAGUGUGUAUGAAAGUUUUUGAUACUUUAGGUAGUGGGAGUUUCGCUAAAUGCAU
rnacentral:tRNA from 1 species